rnacentral:tRNA from 1 species
GGGUGUAUAGCUCAGUAGUACGGCACGUGCUUAGCAUGCACAAGGCUCUGGGUUCAAUCCCCAGUGCCUCCA